rnacentral:rRNA from 1 species
CUUAUGCGUUGUUGGGUAGGGGAGCGUUCUGUAAGCCUGCGAAGGUGGCCUGUGAGGGUUGCUGGAGGUAUCAGAAGUGCGAAUGCUGACAUAAGUAACGAUAAAGCGGGUGAAAAGCCCGCUCGCCGGAAGACCAAGGGUUCCUGUCCAACGUUAAUCGGGGCAGGGUGAGUCGACCCCUAAGGCGAGGCCGAAAGGCGUAGUCGAUGGGAAACGGGUUAAUAUUCCCGUACUUGGUGUUACUGCGAAGGGGGGACGGAGAAGGCUAUGUUGGCCGGGCGACGGUUGUCCCGGUUUAAGCGUGUAGGUGUGUGUUCCAGGUAAAUCCGGUUCACUUUAACACUGAGGCGUGACGACGAGGCACUACGGUGCUGAAGCAACAAAUGCCCUGCUUCCAGGAAAAGCCUCUAAGCAUCAGGUAACAUCAAAUCGUACCCCAAACCGACACAGGUGGUCAGGUAGAGAAUACCAAGGCGCUUGAGAGAACUCGGGUGAAGGAACUAGGCAAAAUGGUGCCGUAACUUCGGGAGAAGGCACGCUGACACGUAGGUGAAGUGAUUUACUCAUGGAGCUGAAGUCAGUCGAAGAUACCAGCUGGCUGCAACUGUUUAUUAAAAACACAGCACUGUGCAAACACGAAAGUGGACGUAUACGGUGUGACGCCUGCCCGGUGCCGGAAGGUUAAUUGAUGGGGUCAGCGCAAGCGAAGCUCCUGAUCGAAGCCCCGGUAAACGGCGGCCGUAACUAUAACGGUCCUAAGGUAGCGAAAUUCCUUGUCGGGUAAGUUCCGACCUGCACGAAUGGCGUAAUGAUGGCCAGGCUGUCUCCACCCGAGACUCAGUGAAAUUGAACUCGCUGUGAAGAUGCAGUGUACCCGCGGCAAGACGGAAAGACCCCGUGAACCUUUACUAUAGCUUGACACUGAACAUUGAGCCUUGAUGUGUAGGAUAGGUGGGAGGCUUUGAAGUGUGGACGCCAGUCUGCAUGGAGCCGACCUUGAAAUACCACCCUUUAAUGUUUGAUGUUCUAACGUGGACCCGUUACCCGGGUUGCGGACAGUGUCUGGUGGGUAGUUUGACUGGGGCGGUCUCCUCCUAAAGAGUAACGGAGGAGCACGAAGGUUGGCUAAUCCUGGUCGGACAUCAGGAGGUUAGUGCAAUGGCAUAAGCCAGCUUGACUGCGAGCGUGACGGCGCGAGCAGGUGCGAAAGCAGGUCAUAGUGAUCCGGUGGUUCUGAAUGGAAGGGCCAUCGCUCAACGGAUAAAAGGUACUCCGGGGAUAACAGGCUGAUACCGCCCAAGAGUUCAUAUCGACGGCGGUGUUUGGCACCUCGAUGUCGGCUCAUCACAUCCUGGGGCUGAAGUAGGUCCCAAGGGUAUGGCUGUUCGCCAUUUAAAGUGGUACGCGAGCUGGGUUUAGAACGUCGUGAGACAGUUCGGUCCCUAUCUGCCGUGGGCGCUGGAGAACUGAGGGGGGCUGCUCCUAGUACGAGAGGACCGGAGUGGACGCAUCACUGGUGUUCGGGUUGUCAUGCCAAUGGCACUGCCCGGUAGCUAAAUGCGGAAGAGAUAAGUGCUGAAAGCAUCUAAGCACGAAACUUGCCCCGA